rnacentral:rRNA from 1 species
CGGACGGGUGAGUAAUGCCUAGGAAUCUGCCUGGUAGUGGGGGACAACGUUUCGAAAGGAACGCUAAUACCGCAUACGUCCUACGGGAGAAAGCAGGGGACCUUCGGGCCUUGCGCUAUCAGAUGAGCCUAGGUCGGAUUAGCUAGUUGGUGAGGUAAUGGCUCACCAAGGCGACGAUCCGUAACUGGUNUGAGAGGAUGAUCAGUCACACUGGAACUGAGACACGGUCCAGACUCCUACGGGAGGCAGCAGCC